CGUCAGAAGCAGUGGAGUCAGCAUUACUGCCUUUACUGGGCCUAAUUAUGUUAUUGGACUGAAAGCGAGACUGCGGGCAUUUGUUCAGCUGUCAGAGUCGGACAUUCAGGAGAGACUGGAAGAGUUCUUCAGACAACAUGGAUUACAGCCACAGGUUUUAUCCCUGAGGAACCUGAAGGUUAAACCAUGACACCAGAUGAGAAAAGUGCUUUAUACUUUACAUAUUUCCAAUUAAUUUCCUCAAACUGGAACAAAAAUUAAUUUGAUUGACCAUUUUUGAAGAUCUCCAUAUACAUAAUUGUGUGUAUUCUGUGUACUGAGCAGCAGCAGAGGUCAUUAACAAGUUAAAUGUUACCUUGACCUUUUGUUAAUCUUUGUUGCUCAGAAGUUGGUAACAGGUGUGCAAAUAAAUUAAAUACUGCGGGCAUUUAUGCUAUAUCAUUAUCUUUCUAAACCGAUGUGUUAUAUUUUUAUGAUAUCUAUUUGAACAAACAGAAUACUGUGUUAAUGUAACUCUGAGCACCCCUUGCUGGAAAUAAAAGGAAUUACAGUGGUAUUGCUUCUGUUGUAGGGCUGGAAAAGGAGAAUCAAUCUAGCUGAGAUCAUGUCUAAAGUCAAAUUCCUUAUCACUUCUUUUUUGUCAGUGCUGCCAUAUUUCUGAUGGCCACACAUUGUAAAUAAAUAUUGACAAGAUCACAGCAGAGGUGGACUUUUUUUUUUUUUUUGCUAUUUAUUUCUACAUAGUGUUUGGUUCUCUUAUCAUUUUUUGUCCUGGUGUCUGCUGCAUUUUUUCCUGAGUGCUCUGUUCUCCUGUCAUUGUCUGAAGGGCAGUCUGUCUUUGUUAGCUCUGCAAUAAACUGGUGAUCUGUCCAGAGUCUAGCAC